rnacentral:tRNA from 1 species
GGGCGGGUAGCUCAGUUGGUUAGAGCAUCGCGUUGACAUCGCGGAGGUCGCAGGUUCGAGCCCUGUCUCGCCCA